CCUACGGGAGGCAGCAGUGGGGGAUAUUGCACAAUGGGGGGAACCCUGAUGCAGCGACGCCGCGUGGGUGAAGGAGCGUUUCGGCGCGUAAAGCCCUAUCGGCAGGGAAGAAGAGCACGGUACCUGACCAAGAAGCCCCAGCUAACUACGUGCCAGCAGCCGCGGGAAUACGUAGGGGGCAAGCGGUAUCCGGAUUUACUGGGUGUAAAGGGGGCGGCGACGGCAAUGCAAGCCAGGAGUGAAAGCCCGGGGCCCAACCCCGGGACUGCUCUUGGAACUGCAGGGCUGGAGUACAGGAGGGGCAGGCGGAAUUCCUAGUGUAGCGGUGAAAUGCGUAGAUAUUAGGAGGAACACCGGUGGCGAAGGCGGCCUGCUGGACUGUGACUGACGUUGAGGCCCGAAGGCGUGGGGAGCAAACAGGAUUAGAUACCCGGGUAGUC
rnacentral:rRNA from 1 species